GAUGAAGAACGUAGCGAAAUGCGAUAAGUAAUGUGAAUUGCAGAAUUCAGUGAAUCAUCGAGUCUUUGAACGCACAUUGCGCCCCCUGGUAUUCCGGGGGGCAUGCCUGUCCGAGCGUCAUUGCUGCCCUCAAGCACGGCUUGUGUGUUGGGCCCCCGUCCCCGGUUCUCCCCGGGGACGGGCCCGAAAGGCAGCGGCGGCACCGCGUCCGAUCCUCAAGCGUAUGGGGCUUUGUCACCCGCUCUGUAGGCCCGGCCGGCGCCAGCCGACACCCCAACUUUAUUUUCUAAGGUUGACCUCGGAUCAGGUAGGGAUACCCGCUGAACUUAAGCAUAUCAAUAAGCGGAGGA
rnacentral:misc_RNA from 1 species